rnacentral:lncRNA from 1 species
CAAAUAAUUUGUUACCGUCGAUUAAAAAAAUAAUACUGUCUUAACUACCGUUUCGGUGGAACGGGCCCUUUUAGAGAAUAGUACCUCUACGGAAACCUAUUUAUAUAAUAAAAAGUUUGACGAAGAAAUAUAAUCCUUCGGGCGCAGACUGAUAUCCAAAAAUGAAUUGUUUCCCCUUUAAGUUUUUCUUCCUCUUCAUUAGCCAUAUCUAUAUAUAAACGAAUCCAUUCUCCUCCGUCACCCGACAAAACAGUCGACCUGGAUCGCGACCAACAACUCGAACUUGGCACGGUCGGUGUUUUCGUAACCACCGCAGGUAAGAGGAACACCUUUCAUCGCCGUACGCCAAAUUAAUCGUUACCUUCUAAACGGUUUACUUAGGAAAACCGGUGGAAAGAACAACGGAGGAAAAGAGAACAGCGUAUCUGUGCGAUAAAGAAAAUGGACACUGUAAUUCUAUGUCGUAUUUCUCGAAAAAGGCCAAGAAAAGGAGACGACGACGACGCUGUGUUAAAUAAUGCCCUAAGAACUUUUGAAACCGCUACAAAAGAAUUAAUAGAAAAUAACGAAACGAAUGAAAGACAAAGAUCGAAUAGACUUUUUUGGUGGUGGAUUAAAUGUUCGUUGACGAAAAUUAACAAAAAAAGAUCAGUACGAAGUUACGAAAGAUACGGAAUUACUCUUGUUUAAGUAUGAAGGUAAAGAUGUAAAUCGAAUAUAGUGUAAAUUUCUAUUUAUAUUUUUUACUGCACGUUUCAAUUUUUG